rnacentral:lncRNA from 1 species
AGUAGAAACUCAAGGCAUGACCAUUGCACAGCUGAGUGCUUCCAGGACAGACGUUACGGCAUGAGCAUGCAGCUCCACCACUCUGCUCCAAAGUCCAUACUUAUCUCUUGGUUUAGCUUCUAUCUAGGAAGAGUGAUAGCAUCUAUCUAAAGGCUUUGGUGACAGUGUGAGGUUUAGGCAAAAUCAUGCAUUCGGGGAGAUGUCUAACUUCAGAACGCCCUCUCAUCUGAGGACUGUGAAUGCCUUUUCAUUUGGGAAGAAGUCUUAAGCCCUGUUUCUCAGAGCUGUUGAUCUGAUUGUUCUCGAAGCUGUACAUUGCAGCUGAUGCGUGAUGCUGAAAACAAGGCCCGGGACCUUGGACAUGCUAGGCAAGCACUCUGUGCCUGAUCUGAACCACCCGACUUAACAGACAUUUUCCUGAGUUUCUUCUGCAGGUGCAUCCCAAGCGCUAGGCUACGUGGAUGUGCAUGUCUUGGGGCUUUUCAAUCACGCACAAAACUAUUCUUCAAAACAUGUUUGCAAAAGAUGAAUAUUCAUGUCACCAUGCCUUGGCCAUACAUAUCUGUAUCAGAUUGUAUUUUUCCGACACAUGACCUUUGAAAAGAAUCUGCUGCCAC